GCUAGUUGGUGAGGUAACGGCCCACCAAGGCGACGAUCAGUAGCCGACCUGAGAGGGUGAUCGGCCACACUGGAACUGAGACACGGUCCGGACUCCUACGGGAGGCAGCAGUGGGGAAUAUUGGGCAAUGGGCGAAAGCCUGACCCAGCAACGCCGCGUGAAGGAAGAAGGUUUUCGGAUUGUAAACUUCUGUCCUCAGGGAAGAAGGAAGUGACGGUACCUGAGGAGGAAGCCCCGGCUAACUACGUGCCAGCAGCCGCGGUAAUACGUAGGGGGCGAGCGUUGUCCGGAAUGACUGGGCGUAAAGGGCGCGUAGACGGCUUUUUAAGUCUGGAGUGAAAGUCCUGCUUUCAAGGUGGGAAUUGCUUUGGAGACUGGAAGGCUUGAGUGCGGAAGAGGUAAGUGGAAUUCCCAGUGUAGCGGUGAAAUGCGUAGAGAUUGGGAAGAACACCAGUGGCGAAGGCGACUUACUGGGCCGUAACUGACGUUGAUGCGCGAAAGCGUGGGGAGCGAACAGGAUUAGAUACCCUGGUAGUCCACGCCGUAAACGAUGAGUGCUAGGUGUAGCGGGUAUCGACCCCUGCUGUGCCGGAGUUAACACAAUA
rnacentral:rRNA from 1 species